rnacentral:rRNA from 1 species
GAUGAACGCUGGCGGCGUGCCUAAUACAUGCAAGUCGAGCGAACGGACGAGAAGCUUGCUUCUCUGAUGUUAGCGGCGGACGGGUGAGUAACACGUGGAUAACCUACCUAUAAGACUGGGAUAACUUCGGGAAACCGGAGCUAAUACCGGAUAAUAUUUUGAACCGCAUGGUUCAAAAGUGAAAGACGGUCUUGCUGUCACUUAUAGAUGGAUCCGCGCUGCAUUAGCUAGUUGGUAAGGUAACGGCUUACCAAGGCAACGAUGCAUGGCCGACCUGAGAGGGUGAUCGGUCACACUGGAACUGAGACACGGUCCAGACUCCUACGGGAGGCAGCAGUAGGGAAUCUUCCGCAAUGGGCGAAAGCCUGACGGAGCAACGCCGCGUGAGUGAUGAAGGUCUUCGGAUCGUAAAACUCUGUUAUUAGGGAAGAACAUAUGUGUAAGUAACUGUGCACAUCUUGACGGUACCUAAUCAGAAAGCCACGGCUAACUACGUG